ACUCUCAAACUAUUAUCUCUGGUUUUGUGUGUUACAGGUAAUGAAUUAGUUUAAUUUUCAACUUCUAGACCUCCAGUAUUACAUUGCUUUAUCAUACGUUACCGGGAUCCUAAAAAACAAAUACAUAUACAAAAACAGAAAAUAAACAUCACCUCCACAAGUGGUUACUGUGCAUUAAUCCAGAAUGGGUGGUGAUCGGGAUGAGUUGGGGGGUGGGGUUCAGCACCUAUUAGAAAGACUGCAACUACUCUUGUGGUCUAAUGGAACAUAGGUUUUUCUUUAGGAGAGAUUAAUCGGGAGUGAGGUCUGCCUAAACCUGAGAUGAGAAGAAUUUGUCUCCUGAGAAUAAUGAUGGAUAUCCCUCAAGAAUUGAAGAUGGGCCAGAAAGAAGAAAGCAUUGUGGCUUGGUUGAUGUACAGAAAGAGCUCUUACUGAAUCCAGUAGCAUUCCCAGUGCUGUUGAAGGUGUAAAUCACUCUAAAGGCUUUGGUGUAUGCAGUCCUGGAUUCAAAUCCUAUCUCUGAAAGCUUGAAGAAGAGAGUUGACAUUUCUGGAGCACACAAAUCAACUCAUUAAAUAAUGGGUACACAGAAUGAUUACAUUUGUUCCUUGCUGUUAGGAGGAACAAGCAGAAGUUCCAUAUGCCACCUUCUUCUGCUACUGCAGCAACAAGUGAUAUUCGAGACAGUGAAGCCCCCAUCAAUUCUAGACUGAUAUGGAGCAGAGACGACCUCCUAUACACACUCCCACUACUGACCCAUGGUGGACAAGAAACCAGAAAUUUCAUUAUGUUAAGCUUCUGAGAUAUUUCUGUUUUUUCCACUGAACAUUAUUCUAAUUUAUGUGAUAUAUUUGAUUUUAGAGCUAACUUGUUCUAAAGCUUACAGUCUUUUGCUGGGCAGGGUAGCAGUUCCAGCCACUUAGUAGGCUGAAACAGGAGGAUGGCUUAAGCUCAGGAGUUUGAGACCAGCCUGGGCUAAAUAAUGAGACCCCAUCUCUUAAAAAUAUAUACAAAAUAUAUAAACAAAAAUAAAGCUUACAAUUUUUUUCAACAACAACCUUGUGUAUAGUUCAAACGGAUUUUGUACCCCAUACCUUAGUAACCUACUCAAUGUCAUAUAAGCCUUUCUACCUUUCAGAGUAUCUUCUUGUCAUUCCUUCUUAAAAUGCUCCUCCCAAAUCCUAUUCUGUCUUUUUUUACUACUUUUGAUCUGAACUGUCCAAUAUGUGACUUUGUCCAUAUGUGUCCACAUGCAACUAUUGAGCCCUUGAAAUAUGGCUAGUUCAAAACUGAGAUACACUGUAAGUAUAAUACUGCAUACUGGAUUUUGAACAAUUAGGACAAAAAGAAUAUUAAAUAUAUUCUUAAAAUUAAUUACAUGUUAAAAUGGUAUGUUGGAUAUAUUUGGUUAAAUGAAACUUUAUUAAAAUGAAUUAGCCCUGUUUCUUAUUUUUUUUUUUGUUUUUUGUUUUUAAUUGUGUCUGCUCAAAAAACUAAAAUUACACAAGUGGUUCACAUUUGUAUCUUGAGUAAUAUUUCCAUGGAGAGCACAAAAAUAGAUCCUGAUGAAAGAAUAUAUCCAUCUUAAAACUUUUCUUGAAGAUCUAAAUCAGCUACAGUGACUUUCUUUCUUUUGUAGGGAAGGGAAAAAUAUCUUUUCCUAACCCAUCUGCCUAUCCGAGGUUCUUAGCUGAGACACCUAUAACCAAAGGUAGAUAAACAUACAAAUUUCUUUAAAUAAGUUUUAUGAACACAGAACCCCUCACAAGAAAAUGGAGACCAGAAAAAACAGUUAAACUUGUGUAUGCUUAUGCCUGGAUUGAUGAAGAGUAGACAGUCAUGGAGAAAUAUGAUUGGACAAAAGUUAUGGAAAUAAACUGGGGAAACAGCAAGGCCUGUUUGUUCAGAUUUUUCUGUGUGGCUCUUUGUCUUGAGAUGAGAAUGUGCCUUUCUUCUGGGUAUAAGGAGGGUACCUCUUACAUAAGGUCUUAUAACCAGCUUGAGGGGAGAAGGGCAAGGGGAAGGUGAGAGUGACCUCCUAGCUUCUGCUAUUUUUCCAAAUGCCAAGCUGCCAUAUUUCAGUGUAGCAUGACCUGAACCCCAUCACUCCACAUCACCUUACUCUAUAAAUUCAUUUUGCUAUUUUUUCUAUUUAUAUUAGUCCAUUUUCAUACGCUAUGAAGAAAUACCUGAGACUGGGCAAUUUAUAAAGAAAAAGAGGCUUAAUAGACUCACAGUUCCACAUGGCUAGGGAGGUCUCACAAUCAUGGUGGAAGGUGAAAGAGGAGAAAAGCCACGUUUUACGUGGCAGCGGGCAAAAGAGUGUGUACAGGGGAACUCUCCUUUAUAAAACCAUCAGAUCUCAUUAGACGUAUUCACUAUUCACUAGCACCAGGGGAAAAACCCAUCCCCAUGCUUCAAUUACCUCCCACUGGGUCCCUCCCAUGACAUGUGGAGAUUGUGGGAGCUACAAUUCAAGAUAAGAUUUGGGGGGUAACACAGCCAAACCAGGUUACUAUUGUAUAUCAUUAUAUUAAUGAUGCUUAUCUGAAACAAUUGUCCUGUCUUAAUAGGUACAAAGCUUUUAAAAUUACAGAAUAUUUGUUAUUUCUCUGAGACCUCCCUACAGUACUUUGCAGUCUACUUUGUACAGAUUACACAUUCUAUGAACUGUUUUAACUGAUUUUGGACAGUGAGGUUUCUGAGGAAGACAUUGAUGGCAGGCUGCUUUGAUUUGUGAUUGUUGUAUCUAUUCUGGGCUCUCACCAAAUGCUCACUGGAGUAGACAUUUCAGAGUAUAAAAAAAAGUUAAAAAUUCAAAAACACAAAAGGCACUCAAAUAAACCAGGAUUUGAAAAUCACCAAUUUCAAUUUUUCUAAACUCUUAAUGAGAACCUCACCUGGUCUAUAAUUGAAGAUCAACCAAAGGUCAUGCAGAAAAACAAAAUAGAAUGUAACAAGUAAGCUCUUCUACUAUUUCAUGCUUAGGUACAUUGACAGCGGGCCUCAUAGAAAUGGGGCUAAUCUAAAAAUAAAUAUCCAUAUUUUGGUUUGAAGAAAUAAUUAUCCUAUGCAAGUUCUUAGACCCAUCUCUAGGAAUACUGAAAGACAGAUAUUUUUCUCACACAAGUAAAUAUUCUACCAUGUUUCAAAAAAAAGUGAAAGACAAUAAAAAUGGUAUUGGAAAGAGUGUGCUAAAGAUGACCAUCUGUUCUCCAGGAGGUGAAAGAAAAGGAGCUUAAAAUUACACUAAGGGACAUAGUAUGUUUACAAAGUAUACUAAUACUACAGAGACUGCUGGAGAAGGCAUUAAAGAAGUGUGCAGGGAAGCAGCAAUCAACUGUGCCCUAAAGCAGACAGGAGAAGCCAAGUGUAUGGCAAGGAUUGGGUCAAAGACCCUUCUGGGAAGUCAGCACACCCCUGCCUGAUUCAGGAUUUGCUGGGAGAGGCAGUUCAAAAAUCUAAGACUUUACUGGAUUGUCAUUGUCCACACACAAUCUGCUUAGUGAAACUUUCUAA
rnacentral:lncRNA from 1 species